GACGAACCGUGCGAACGUUGCUCGGAAUCACUGGGCUUAAAGGGUGCGUAGGCGGCGCGGUAAGUCGGGUGUGAAAUCUCGGAGCUUAACUCCGAAACUGCAUUCGAUACUGCCGUGCUUGAGGACUGGAGAGGAGACUGGAAUUUACGGUGUAGCGGUGAAAUGCGUAGAUAUCGUAAGGAAGACCAGUGGCGAAGGCGGGUCUCUGGACAGUUCCUGACGCUGAGGCACGAAGGUCAGGGGAGCAAACGGG
rnacentral:rRNA from 1 species